rnacentral:rRNA from 1 species
CCUGGCUCAGGACGAACGCUGGCGGCGCGCCUAACACAUGCAAGUCGAACGAGCGAGAGAGAGCUUGCUUUCUCGAGCGAGUGGCGAACGGGUGAGUAACGCGUGAGGAACCUGCCUCAAAGAGGGGGACAACAGUUGGAAACGACUGCUAAUACCGCAUAAGCCCACGGGUCGGCAUCGACCAGAGGGAAAAGGAGCAAUCCGCUUUGAGAUGGCCUCGCGUCCGAUUAGCUGGUUGGUGAGGUAACGGCCCACCAAGGCGACGAUCGGUAGCCGGACUGAGAGGUUGAACGGCCACAUUGGGACUGAGACACGGCCCAGACUCCUACGGGAGGCAGCAGUGGGGAAUAUUGCACAAUGGGGGAAACCCUGAUGCAGCGACGCCGCGUGGAGGAAGAAGGUCUUCGGAUUGUAAACUCCUGUUGUUGAGGAAGAUAAUGACGGUACUCAACAAGGAAGUGACGGCUAACUACGUGCCAGCAGCCGCGGUAAAACGUAGGUCACAAGCGUUGUCCGGAAUUACUGGGUGUAAAGGGAGCGCAGGCGGGAAGACAAGUUGGAAGUGAAAUCCAUGGGCUCAACCCAUGAACUGCUUUCAAAACUGUUUUUCUUGAGUAGUGCAGAGGUAGGCGGAAUUCCCGGUGUAGCGGUGGAAUGCGUAGAUAUCGGGAGGAACACCAGUGGCGAAGGCGGCCUACUGGGCACCAACUGACGCUGAGGCUCGAAAGUGUGGGUAGCAAACAGGAUUAGAUACCCUGGUAGUCCACACCGUAAACGAUGAUUACUAGGUGUUGGAGGAUUGACCCCUUCAGUGCCGCAGUUAACACAAUAAGUAAUCCACCUGGGGAGUACGACCGCAAGGUUGAAACUCAAAGGAAUUGACGGGGGCCCGCACAAGCAGUGGAGUAUGUGGUUUAAUUCGACGCAACGCGAAGAACCUUACCAAGUCUUGACAUCCCUUGACGAUGCUGGAAACAGUAUUUCUCUUCGGAGCAAGGAGACAGGUGGUGCAUGGUUGUCGUCAGCUCGUGUCGUGAGAUGUUGGGUUAAGUCCCGCAACGAGCGCAACCCUUAUGGUCAGUUACUACGCAAGAGGACUCUGGCCAGACUGCCGUUGACAAAACGGAGGAAGGUGGGGAUGACGUCAAAUCAUCAUGCCCUUUAUGACUUGGGCUACACACGUACUACAAUGGCGUUAAACAAAGAGAAGCAAGACCGCGAGGUGGAGCAAAACUCAGAAACAACGUCCCAGUUCGGACUGCAGGCUGCAACUCGCCUGCACGAAGUCGGAAUUGCUAGUAAUCGUGGAUCAGCAUGCCACGGUGAAUACGUUCCCGGGCCUUGCACACACCGCC